rnacentral:rRNA from 1 species
GGUGAACGCUGGCGGUGCGCCUAAUACAUGCAAGUCGAACGAGAACUCGGAUUUAUUCGAGGGACAGUGGCGAACGAGUGAGUAACACGUAAGAACCUGCCCUGUACUCAGGGAUAACUGCCCGAAAGGGUGGCUAAUACCGGAUGGUCCCGAAAGGGUAAAGAUUUAUCGGUACGGGAGGGGCUUGCGGUCUAUCAGCUUGUUGGUGGGGUAAAAGCCCACCAAGGCUAUGACGGAUAGCUGGUGCGAGAGCAUGACCAGCCACGAUGGGACUGAGACACGGCCCAU